CUGAGUGGCUCCAGACUUGAAACGUACUCCUGUUUCGUAGCGUCUCAGAUGAAUGCUGACCUGGCUGUAAUUUCUACAGCUGACAUGGUGAGAACUCAUGACCCCGAGAUCUACUCUACUGAGUGGGCCAGCCAGGUGCCCCUGAACUAGUAAGUAUAAUUAACCAUUUAUAGCACAUACCUUCCUGGCUAAAUCUUGGGCACUUUACACAUGU
rnacentral:lncRNA from 1 species